rnacentral:lncRNA from 1 species
CCCCUCUGGGCAAGCCAGCUCUGCAGCAGAUGAGGAGGUCUCCCUUUUUCUUAGCUGAAAAGGACACUCCAUAUACCAGUACGCAGCAGUGCGGGAGAGGACACACAUCGUGUCCGAUGUGGUUUCCAGGCAGAGCGGCUAUGGAGACAGACGUGUUGAGAGGUGCAUACAGAUUUCUGCUCCCUAAUUGAGCAGAGAUGAAUUAUCCAGCCCUGACUACCAGCACGGAUGAUGAAACAAUGCAUUUUUAGACUCUUCUCCGGGGCCACUGAAACUACCUGCAUCCACAUUCACUGGGGGAAUCUGAAGUGUCCAUAUACCAUCAAGGUGCUAUCCAGGCUUGCCAGAAUCAAUGUCUUAAGAGAUUUCCUGGAAUCGGCAGUUUUUAAGAAGUCUGCACGGAAUUUAUGGACCCUAAAUACAGUUGCAUGAUAAUCACUCAGUUUCUUUGCAGUCAUUGAGCGGAGCACAUUUAUUUAACUAGGUUUGUCUGAUUGUAUUUAUGAUCCGAGGUCUGAAAAGCAAAUCAUUUGUCUCUUUCCCAGUUUGGGAACUUGUGCCUAUUAAAUUGUCAGUGUAAG